CAUGAACAGCUUUAAAACUGAUACAGCAAUAAGAGAAACCAAGAACACAAAAAGUUGGGCCAGGCUUAAUUGUCUUCUCUUCUCCCAUGCAGAAGGAACUUGCACUCUGAAUUCGAUCACCAGCCAGUGAACCAAAGACCUAACCCUGGGAGAAGACCUGGCAAUUCCCCCAAAGAAUUUCUAUCUGGGACCAUCUGAUCUGAUGGAAAUGGAGGCUUCCUGUCUUCUGUGUCUUUCUGGAGACAGCCUGAUCAAGAGGUGCUUAGAAAAGACAGAUGAAGAAAGAAGUGAGGGAGGAAGAGGUUAUGGUCAUGAGCUUCCCAAUGGAAUAUGGACCUCAGCAAGUAUUUUGUUCUAGAAAAUUCUGAUCCUGUUUCUUGAGAUCAUCUUUUGAAGACCAUUUCCAGGCCUACUUUGGCUUGGCUGAAGAUUAGAAAAAGAUUUAGGGAACGUUCCUGUCUUUUUGGUACCAGGUGAAAAAAAAUCAUACUUUUUCAGGCUGUUGUAUUGUUAUUUUAACAUGUGAGUUUUAUAUCUUGAGUUUUGUAUUUUACCCUUGCUCACCUCUGAAAUAUUCUAAUGAACAAAAUGAAGGCAUGCAACAUCAACUGAGCUGCCACAAAUUAAAAAUCACCUAUGGGUGACUCUUCCUUGAGAAAUUUGCCUCCGGUCUCUAAUUUU